rnacentral:rRNA from 2 species
UUUAUGGAGAGUUUGAUCCUGGCUCAGAGUGAACGCUGGCGGCGUGCCUAAUACAUGCAAGUCGAACGAUGAAGCUUCUAGCUUGCUAGAAUGCUGAUUAGUGGCGCACGGGUGAGUAACGCAUAGGUCAUGUGCCUCUUAGUUUGGGAUAGCCAUUGGAAACGAUGAUUAAUACCAGAUACUCCCUACGGGGGAAAGAUUUAUCGCUAAGAGAUCAGCCUAUGUCCUAUCAGCUUGUUGGUAAGGUAAUGGCUUACCAAGGCUAUGACGGGUAUCCGGCCUGAGAGGGUGAACGGACACACUGGAACUGAGACACGGUCCAGACUCCUACGGGAGGCAGCAGUAGGGAAUAUUGCUCAAUGGGGGAAACCCUGAAGCAGCAACGCCGCGUGGAGGAUGAAGGUUUUAGGAUUGUAAACUCCUUUUGUUAGAGAAGAUAAUGACGGUAUCUAACGAAUAAGCACCGGCUAACUCCGUGCCAGCAGCCGCGGUAAUACGGAGGGUGCAAGCGUUACUCGGAAUCACUGGGCGUAAAGAGCGCGUAGGCGGGAUAGUCAGUCAGGUGUGAAAUCCUAUGGCUUAACCAUAGAACUGCAUUUGAAACUACUAUUCUAGAGUGUGGGAGAGGUAGGUGGAAUUCUUGGUGUAGGGGUAAAAUCCGUAGAGAUCAAGAGGAAUACUCAUUGCGAAGGCGACCUGCUGGAACAUUACUGACGCUGAUUGCGCGAAAGCGUGGGGAGCAAACAGGAUUAGAUACCCUGGUAGUCCACGCCCUAAACGAUGGAUGCUAGUUGUUGGAGGGCUUAGUCUCUCCAGUAAUGCAGCUAACGCAUUAAGCAUCCCGCCUGGGGAGUACGGUCGCAAGAUUAAAACUCAAAGGAAUAGACGGGGACCCGCACAAGCGGUGGAGCAUGUGGUUUAAUUCGAAGAUACACGAAGAACCUUACCUAGGCUUGACAUUGAGAGAAUCCGCUAGAAAUAGUGGAGUGUCUGGCUUGCCAGACCUUGAAAACAGGUGCUGCACGGCUGUCGUCAGCUCGUGUCGUGAGAUGUUGGGUUAAGUCCCGCAACGAGCGCAACCCCCUUUCUUAGUUGCUAACAGGUUAUGCUGAGAACUCUAAGGAUACUGCCUCCGUAAGGAGGAGGAAGGUGGGGACGACGUCAAGUCAUCAUGGCCCUUACGCCUAGGGCUACACACGUGCUACAAUGGGGUGCACAAAGAGAAGCAAUACUGCGAAGUGGAGCCAAUCUUCAAAACACCUCUCAGUUCGGAUUGUAGGCUGCAACUCGCCUGCAUGAAGCUGGAAUCGCUAGUAAUCGCAAAUCAGCCAUGUUGCGGUGAAUACGUUCCCGGGUCUUGUACUCACCGCCCGUCACACCAUGGGAGUUGUGUUUGCCUUAAGUCAGGAUGCUAAAUUGGCUACUGCCCACGGCACACACAGCGACUGGGGUGAAGUCGUAACAAGGUAACCGUAGGUGAACCUGCGGUUGGAUCACCUCCUU